GCUAUAUACAGUAGCGAGGCUAUAUACAGUAGAGGCUAUAUACAGUAGAGAGGCUAUAUACAGUUGCGAGGCUAUAUACAGUAGAGGCUAUAUACAGUAGAGAGGCUAUAUACAGUAGAGAGGUUAUAUACAGUAGAGAGGCUAUAUACAGUAGAGAGGCUAUAUAAAGUAGAGAGGUUAUAUACAGUAGAGAGGCUAUAUACAGUAGAGGGGCUAUAUACAGUAGAGAGGCUAUAUACAGUAGAGAGGCUAUAUACAGUAGAGAGGCUAUAUACAGUAGAGAGGAUAUAUACAGUAGAGAGGCUAUAUACAGUAGAGAGGCUAUAUACAGUAGAGAGGCUAUAUACAGUAGAGAGGUUAUAUACAGUAGAGAGGCUAUAUACAGUAGCGAGGCUACAUACAGUAGAGGCUAUAUACAGUAGAGAGGCUAUAUACAGUAGAGAGGCUAUAUACAGUAGAGAGGCUAUAUACAGUAGAGAGGCUAUAUACAGUAGAGAGGCUACAUACAGUAGAGAGUCUAUAUACAGUAGAGAGGCUAUAUACAGUAGAGGCUAUAUACAGUAGAGAGGAUAUAUACAGUAGAGGCUAUAUACAGUAGAGAGGCUAUAUACAGUAGAGAGGCUAUAUACAGUAGAGAGGCUAUAUACAGUAGAGAGGCUAUAUACAGUAGAGAGGUUAUAUACAGUAGAGAGGUUAUAUACAGUAGAGAGGCUAUAUACAGUAGAGGCUAUAUGCAGUAGAGGCUAUAUACAGUAGAGAG
rnacentral:lncRNA from 1 species